rnacentral:lncRNA from 1 species
CGCCGCGGCGGCGAUCGCGCUCCCGCGACCCCUGCCCGCUCUCACGCAAUCCGCUUGCCAACACCACACAUCAUCAGUUUCCGAUUGGCUCCCCUCGGGCCCGCCAAUCAACGGGCUGACUCCCUCAGCGACGGGAGGGAAACUGCAGGGCGAUUGGCUGCGAGGAAAGCUGGGGAAGAAGCCCCUCUCCCUCACCCUCUCAGCGUUUUAUCCAAUGGGAAAAGUACCAGUGGUUCUGAAGACCAAAAAACGAGACGAAAAACAAACGCAGGCGCUGAGCAGGAUGUGCUCACAUGAAAUUGGAAGAGCCUCGUUAUCGUUCCCCCCGCCCCCCUCCCCUCAGC